AUUGAACGCUGGCGGCAUGCCUUACACAUGCAAGUCGAACGGUAACAGGUUAAGCUGACGAGUGGCGAACGGGUGAGUAACACAUCGGAACGUGCCCAAUCGUGGGGGAUAACGUAGCGAAAGCUACGCUAAUACCGCAUACGAUCUACGGAUGAAAGCGGGGGAUCGCAAGACCUCGCGCGAAUGGAGCGGCCGAUGGCAGAUUAGGUAGUUGGUGAGGUAAAGGCUCACCAAGCCUGCGAUCUGUAGCUGGUCUGAGAGGACGACCAGCCACACUGGGACUGAGACACGGCCCAGACUCCUACGGGAGGCAGCAGUGGGGAAUUUUGGACAAUGGGCGCAAGCCUGAUCCAGCAAUGCCGCGUGCAGGAUGAAGGCCUUCGGGUUGUAAACUGCUUUUGUACGGAACGAAACGGUCCUUUCUAAUACAGGGGGCUAAUGACGGUACCGUAAGAAUAAGCACCGGCUAACUACGUGCCAGCAGCCGCCGUAA
rnacentral:rRNA from 1 species